AGGCUUUGCCUGAAUGCUGAAAAUGCUGUGAAUGCUCAAGGAUUGCCUUUGACGACUGCUAAUUUUUUUGUGGCUAUGCUUAGCUUGCUUUCGGUUCAGUCAUCAUCCGAUUAAUUCAAACUGCCCUCCAGAGUGUAUAUAAAACCAAAGUGGAAUUGCAUACUGCUUUUUU